GAUUUGGGCUUCGAUGGCCAUCGGAUCUGUCUUCCGGCGCAUCUGAGUCGUUGGAUUUUCCCAGUAGUCAAAACUGAUUUUUGACCUUCCGGUUGUUUUUUCUGACCAAUGACGGGUGGGCUCGGGUGGCGCGCUCAUUGGCUGGGUUCGCCAAUCCCGCGUGCAGGAGGCUUUGGCCAAUCCGCACCGCGCGCAACGCAGCCAAUCCCUCGCCCUCGUCUCACCCCCGCACCAGCCGCCACACGAACCCUAGCCCCCGUUCCCCAAAAUCCCACAGCCUCUCCCGCCUUCUCCACCCCUCCUCCACGCAUCACCAUGACCUAGGGUUGAGGAGGUCAGGUCUUCUCGCUGGGAUGGAGGAGCUGGGGAGGGUCGAGAGGCCGGCGGUGGGGAGCAGCUAGGCCGGCCUGCCGUCUUUGCCUCCUCUCCGUACUCCACAGGAGGUGUGCAGGUUGCUGCUGCGACCCUCCAUUCCCUUCUCUGCUGGUGCUCCUCUCACCGUCUCACGCCGUCAUGCUUGCGUCGACCACCGCGUCCACCCUCAACUCUCUUCGUUGCUCAAGGCGGCAGAAGGACGGAUGGCGGUGGUCCGAGAUCUACUGCCUCCAUCCCUGGCCCGUCAGUGUCGCAGCUAGCCGUACCGAUGGCGCUGCUCAACCUACGGCAGGAUCAGAAGAUGCUUUACACAUGAUUGUGUGAUGCUCAGAGACAUUUUGCAUAGAGGAAACUUCUUGUGAAGCUUGAUUUUAUUCAGGUGCCUAACUGACUACCGCUUCCUCGGCGUUUGUGCUUACCAGUAUGCCGGAAACUUCUUGUGAAGCUCGCCGUUUCAGAGCCAUAUGAUUUUUUCAUAGAAACAGGAGCAGAGUAAAAUGGACACAACUUCUGUUGCAUCUGAGCUUUCUAUCAGCACCGACAACCGCAAUGGGAUGGAUCGAGCAGCCAAGACUCAGCAUGUGGUCGAUAGUGUGUCCUGCUCCCAACCAUGCAGGUGCCUUACUGUACCAUGCCGUCUCCUGCAUGCCAUGCCCCUCAAACCCAACCAUCAUAUGAACCAUGGCAUGGCUCAGCCGCCUCAAUUUUUGGCGCCAACAACGCUUUUCUCUCUCACAAGUUUGCUUAGCCAUGGACAGUGAGGUCACCCUUCUCUGAUUUUCUCCGAUUUCUUCAUUUUCAGUUGCGAUGUUUGGAGCAAUUUUUAAUGGUGAUAAUGAUCUAAAAUAAAAUAGAGCAAUGAUAUACACAAAGAGAGACAGUAGGGGCUAAUUGGAUGCCUAGCUUCUUAAACCAAUGAUAUAUACAAAAUAUUAUUUGAGUAGAAUAGGAGAGAUGCAAUUUUAUGAAUAAUUCAGCAUUUGUAAGAACUUUCCAGCUUACCAAGUGGACUUGAAAAGCCAUGUAUAGGUCUUCAGGUGUCAUAGUUUGUCUGCAAAGUUUAUCUUGUUUUAGUGUGCUCAAAACAACUAAAGAGACACAAUCAUGAUUUUAACAAAAAAUAAUUGGACAUUAUGUUGAAUUUCAUGGUACACCAUCCAUUUUUCGAGGGAGUAGAGGCAUCAUGGGAGGCAACCUUUUAGUUUUUGCUUAGCUACCUGGCGCCUAUAUUUUCGAAAGGUAUAAAUAUCUUUAACUCUCAUGAAUCCUUAUAUACUAUGGCCAUAUGAUAGACUCGUCCAGAUAAGUUAUUUUGGCUAUGUAUCUGUAGUGUUGGCAAUACAUGGGAGUGUUUUUUUUUCUGCAUGUGUAGUUCUAUGUUUGGCAUUUUGAUCUUGAAAACAAUUGCUUCUUGCCGCUCUUCCAGCACUGAAGUUAUGUCUUUCGUGCCAAUUUCAAGUGCUUCACUACCUCUACACAUGGAUCCUGUAGGUGUUUCCUAAUGUAAGUGUCACUGUUUUCCUUCUUUAUGUACCUGGACGGGAGUGCUCAUGAGGAUGACGACAUGCUACUGAACUCAAUUUCAGAAAUGUGAUUGGGGGCCUGGGGUCUGGAGCCCCUCAUUAGUAGUGCUCAGGUGGCAUGUCACAGUUGUUUGCUGAGAAUUUACCCAGAACAAUUUUUGCUUGUCUCUAGCAUGAGGCUAUGAGCCCUAUAGCAGUAUUAGUGUGAUGAUCUACCACUUGACCAGGAAGGGGGGAUUGAAAGAUAGCACUUAACGUUUGGAGCAAUUAGUAUUGGACUAUUUGAGGAAGUAAAUGUUUAAACUUUAAACCAUUAAACCUUAUAUUCUUGAGACUUGCUUCGGUAGACCCCCCCUCACAAACCGUAUAAAGGGCAACAUGGUCAUUUGACCAUAACGUACACCCAUCUUUCGUAUGUGACACGUACUGUACGUUGACGUACACAGCCGAUCCGCCCGCCACACACACCCCUCUUCCUGGGCGGCACAUUUCUUUUCUUUUUUUAACCCUAAAAAAUUAGGCGCAUGGAGUAGGAUUUGAACACCAGACCUUAUGGUUUAUUUCCACCUACUAUAACCAACUAGGACAACUCACUUGUUAUAAAUAAAUACUUCUUUUACUCUUAUUAUUGUUUAUUUUCUCAGACUACUAAUGAGAAAGCUUUGGCUGGUUGGAUUUGACUUGAGAAUGUGGCUUUCCAUAGAUAGUUUGCACAAACAAACGGAAUUGGUUCCAAUUUGUUCCCUAAAACUGUCCAGCGGAAAUUAAGUGCGCUCCUAAAAUCAUGCGAGUAUAAUUGAGAGUCUGUUUAUUUCUCUUUUGUUUUUUAGGAAAUUACGUUCAAUGAAAUUUUGUAUGCCAUACAUGCUACUAAAAUCAGACGGAUAUUAAAUUAUCUUCCGCCGGCAUCACCUUGUGCUUCCUUUAGUUAAUCAAAUUGCUUCAAAUUUAAAAUAUGUUCGAACUUAACCAAAAGUUGUUUUGUGUUGGAUAAAAUUAUUUAUCUCAUCACAUCUCGAACGGGGAAUUUGCUUGCUUCCGAUGCAUACCAAAUUUUCUUUGAGGCAACACGCGUUUUCAACACAAUGAAAUCAUGUUUCAGUCAAUUCGAGAAUUUACUCCUGGUGCAACUAAAAUAUGCUUCUAUUUUUUGCAAGGAACUAAAAUAUGCAUCGACUUAACACAAAAUAUUAUCCAUAUAAUUAUUAUUUUCGUCCAUCAUAUCCAAGUUAGAGAAUUUGCUUCCAUGAGAUAGAUACAUGAUUCCAAUGUAAUAUAAUAUUCUCGUUUCCAAUCACAGUAAAAAUUGGGCGCUCUAAUUGUACAUUUUGCUUCCAUCAUGGUUCAGAUUUUAGAAAUUUGGGUCACUUCAUGGAUGUCCAAAAAACACCAUGUUCAACGGAGGGUGGUUGGCUAGGAUAGAAAUCUUCAUUUGAGAGCACAUUUUUUUGGCAUCCAUGAAAUGACGCCAAUAUUUAUUUCCAGGAGCUUAUAUGACCAAUUAAAGGCACCGUGCCAAGUUGUUUUAGUUUUCGACAAAUUUUGCAUUUUCUGGAGUUUUCUCGGGCAAAAAAGUUCAUAAAUGGCCGAGCGUGUCACAACUUGCGUAUGAUUUUGGAAAUCGUUCAAAUCUGGCCUGGAUGCCUACCAUGGGCAUUCCCACCUACUUGCAAGAUUUGGGAUCAUUUGAAGGAUGUACAAACAUAGACCAUGUCCAACGGAGGGUGUCCGGCUAGGCCAGAAGGCUUCGUCUGAGAGCACGAUGUUUCCCGAUAUCCUUCAAAUGACCCCAUUUUUUUUUCUAUGCCUUGUAUGACCAAUUCAAGGCACCAUGCGAAAUUAUUUUGGUUUUUGACAAAUUUUGCAUUUCCUGGAGUUUUCCCGGUCAAAAAAUGGUCAGACAUGUCGCAACUUGCAUAAGGUGUCAAAAUUCGUUCAAACCUGGCACGAAUGCCUACCAUAGCCAUGCCCUUGCAAAAUUUGGGGUCAAUUCAAGAAUUUCUAAAACUAAACGAUGUUUAACGGAGGGUGUCUAGGUAUGCUAGAAGGCUUCAUCUGAGAGCAUGUUGUUUCUCCACAUCCUUGAAAUGGCCUCAAUUUUUUUCAUGACCUUCUAUGAUCAAUUCAAGACAUCAUGCCAAGUUGUUUUGGUUUUCGAUAAUUUUUGCAUUUUCUGGCGUUUUCUCGGUCAAAAAAGGUCGAUAAAAUGACAGGACGUGUCACAACUUGCAUACUGAGUCGGAAAUCGUUCAAACCUGACAUGGAUUCCUACCAUGGGUAUCCCCACCUUCUUGCAAAAGGUUGGUUCAUUUCAAGAAUAUCCAAUACUAGACCAUGUUUAACAUAGGGUGUCCGGAUAGGCAGAAGGCUCCGGUUUUGGGAACCUUUCAGAAGGUUCCGAAAUCGCUUUUCUGGCUGGUUUCCCUUUUAGUAUUUUAUUUUAUUUUUUAUUUUUCUUGUUUUUCAUGUUUAUUUUUUAUCCGCACUGUAAAAAAAUUGUUUGUAGUUUUCUAAAAUGUUCGUGUUUUCAGUUUUGUUCCUGUUUUUCGAAAUGUUCUACUUUUCAAUGUUUUUUCCUUUCUAAAAAAUAUGUUUGAGAUUCCCAAAAAAUCACGUUUUCACAAAUGUUUUAUUUUCUUGAAUCACAAAUUUGAAAAUGUCGCGUUUCCCAAAAGUUUUUCACAAUUUCAAAAAAUGUUACCAUUUUCAAUUUUGUUCAUUUCCUAUUUCCCAAAAAACGUUCACAUUUUCACAAAAUGUCUUAGUUUCUUUUAAUCACAGAUUUUAAAUGAUUGUGUGUCUAAAAAAUCCAAAAAGUAAAUGAGAUCGGAUGUGAAAAAAAUAAUAUCACGGCUUAUGGUUCAUAUAGACCGGGCUACCUUUUUGGACACCAAAUCUCAUUUAGUAUAGUGGCUACCGAAAUGGUAAACUUGCGCGAGGUCCCAAGUUUGUUCCCUGUCGCACACUUUGGUUUAUCUUAAUUUUCUCAGCUCAUGUUUUAAGUUUUACCGGGACAUUAAGUUUCUUAAACUUUCGCGUUGAUAAUUGAACACCAAAGGUUUGAAGGCAUAGUGACUAGCACAGCGCACUCAUCACAUAGAGGAUGCAGGUUCGAAUCCAAACGCCAUCCUUUUUUGUAAUGAAUUUUCUCCCUGCACCAAUAAAUGGGACGGCCCAGGUGAGCCGCCCUUGCGCAAAACAUACUGACAAUAGCUUGUAUGGUACGCAGGCUAUGUAUUGGAGGUCUUCAUGCAGAAGAUGCACUUUAAAAAAAAGACCAUCCUGCCCUUUAUUAUGAAGGGGUAUGGAUAAUCUCAGCCAUCGAUGUGUUUAAGGGGGGUUUACUGAAGCAGAAGUGUAUAUUCUUAUGUAAAAAGGUUCUGUGUUUUUUUAAUCCAUUAGCGGAGUUAGUUUGUCUAAAAUAACUAACUAUCUAGACUAAUAUGGAAUGAUGAAAAUUUCAGAACUAGAUGUCAAGUUUAAUGCGUCUGGCUUCUUUAACUUGUACUCUUUAUUUCUAAUAUUUUCUUUGUUGUUGAGGUUGCCUCUAUGUUUUAUUACUGUGGAUCUAAUUUAGAUAAUUUGAAAAUAGUCCUAUGUACGAGUAUGCUCAUCUAUAAUAGUUGGGGAGGGAAAUCGUACGAAUUACAGAUUUUGUAAAAAAUUGGCAGUACUAUAUGCAUAAAUCUAAAUUAUUGUUCAUAAUGGAUUCACCACCGCUCUACAUAAGCUACAUUUGCUAUUUAUGUAAGCUGAAUUAGUAGCACUACUUCCUGUUUUCUUGCUUGCAAUACCAUGUACUGCCUCUUUACUUUGUUCUCCACAUUUUAAAUUUUGUCUUUCUUCGGAAGUAUAGUCGCCAACUUAUAGUCUGCAUUGUGUAUAACCGAAAUGAGUGUAGUUUCCUAAUACAAUUGUCUAUAACCGAAAUGAGUGUUGUUUCGUGAUACCAAAGCAUGUGCGCUCACGUAUUUGUCUCUCUUUUACAGCUGAGUGCAUGAAAAACAUGCACAUGGCCAAAAGUUGAAAAAGUACGAGCAAUUGGGUUUUGUUUUUCUCUUAGAAUUGUUCAUGUUCAUGCUGUUGUCAUUUUUUCUGAAAUUUAGGACCUGUUCGGAUCUUCUCCGCUCCACAACCGCAGCUCCCGGAGCGGAGGGAGCGGUAGCACAAUUCGACGGAGUGGCUUAAACCGAGCUCCACUUUUCCUCAGAGCGUGGAGCGGAGUUUGAGAUCGGAGAGAUUCCAAACAGGCCCUUAGACAACUCUUUCCACUUAAUAAUAGUUUACUGAUUUCAGUGCAUCCUAUGUAUAUUUGUCUGAUUGGUCGUCCUCUCAUCCGGACUUACUCAGUGUUGCAUUUGUGUGUUCCUUUACCCUGUGCUGCUUAUUUUUUGCUUGUGUGAGUGGGUUGUGUGUUGUUGUUUCCAUCCUCAUUUAGUAUGGUGAUGUUUUUUAAGAUGACUUCUAUAUUGCUGGAAACUUAAUUUUUAAUUUAUACAUUUGAGCAGUUGACUAGAUAAAAUAAUAAUUUCUGUACGAUUGAGGCCAGUUUAUUUGGCAAGGUUGAAGAAAAAUAGGAUGAAUAUGCACAUGUUGUUACUGUACAAAGGCUAAACGCUCACUGAUGGUUCUUUCCUGAGGUUGAGUAGGAGUGUCUCCCUUUUUCGAAUAAUUUUCUCUCUACAAUUGCCUAAAGAAUAGCUAGAAUCUGGAACAAACCUGCUAUGAAUAAUUGCAUUAUUACUUCAGUGAAAAGUUCCUGGGCAUACUAUGUGUUCCUCUCGACUUGGUUGAAAGUAUUUCUUUUGUUAUCUAGUUUCUCACUACGCAUGUUACCUUUGUUGCUGAGUUUUGCCUACAGUUUAUAUAUAGUAGACUCACAUGAUUACCUGAUGCGGAUUCUACAACUUGGAAAACACAUAUAGGAUAUUCAAGUUGUGUGGGGCGCCCUGGAGAAAGCUUGCUACUCCAGUCAGCCACUUACACGAUAAUCCAGUGCUGCAGGUGCAAGAACUGUUAAUUUUUUCGUUUUCUGCAAUGAUGGUAGUUCUUCUUUGAUUCUACAAGCCGCAGAUGAAUGAAGGAUAGAAAAUAUUUCCAUUGUCAUUGAAUUGGUGGGAUUGUCACCAAGUUAGUGCCGCAGAUUGUUUCUAUUUUAGAUGAAGAAGCCAAAUCAUGAUGUUAAUUGUAAAUCUUGAAAGACUUGUUGUUUAUUGUCACUUCUAUAUCUGUUAUAAACUUU